GAUAACGCCACCAUUUGGGAACAGUCAAAACAGUAUUCAAUUUUACGUUUCGGCACUAAUACACUUCGGCACUGUGGUAAUGUCCCAAUUUUCGACUCUUUGUUUAAACAUACUAUGUGAAGAAACAGCCAACUUAAAUCUUCUUCAAAAACUCAUUGUCUUUUCAUAGAAAAUGCCGUCGAACAGUACCGCCGGAUUGACAUUUUGGGGAUUUGUAGAAAACAGUCGGCAAGAUUUAAUCGAGUUCUCCUGUUUUAAUCUUCCCAUACUUUCAUUCUGCCAUUACCCGUUUGCAACCAGUGCAAAGAACAGAUUGGUGUAUCAGCAGACAAAGGAAGCGAUGGGAACAUUAGACUUUUAUGACAAACUUGGAAGAAAUUGAGCGUAAAAAUCACCUGAAACCGAUGAUGCGCAAAUCAAGCGCCGAUCUUGGAACGCGGAGUGUUAUUGUAGUGUUGGUAUAGUUGGUCCGUAAUAUCUUUAUUUUGUACGCCCUUCCUUCUUGUUUCAACCAAGUUGUCCCUCAAAAUGCUCCGAUUGGAGGAGCUCAUUUUCCAAUUAUUUCCCACAUGUUAUUUUACUUUUACUUUUUCUCCUUGGGAUAAAAAUUGCAA